ACCUAACACUGGACUCUAGCUGAUAUGGU
rnacentral:piRNA from 1 species